AUCGCUUAACAGGCAGACGAGCUCGCGCUGGUAAUCUGUGGCAGCUGGAAAUGGACAGGGGAGCUGUGCAGCUGUCUCACACAGAAAUGAAGCGUCCAAACAAGAACGAGUGGAUGGACAGCAAUCUUCCUCUAAAAAGUCCAAAGGGACAGGAUGACGAAGAAGAUGAGCAAGAUGAAGGAAUAAGGAGAGUCAGGGCAGGACUCAAGGCCAAGAGGGAGCGCCGACAGGGAAGCAGCAGUGCCACUUUGUGUCAGGUGUGCAACAUACAACUAAACUCAAGCGCCCAGGCACAGAUCCACUACAGGGGGAAGACACACCAGAGGAGGCUACGCAGACUGGCAAAGGCUGUCAGUGCAGGUGCAUUGUCCCAUAACCAGGUCCUCCCAUUCCUGGGCUCUCUGCCUCUGCCAGGUCGACCUCAUCAGCCACAGGCUCAUGCCCAGUUGGAGCACUUCCUACCACUCAGAAUCAACGGCUCCUCACCACUCAGCCUCUUCCCCAAUUUCAACACUAUGGACCCAGUGCAGAAGGCGGUGAUUAACCACACCUUUGGCAUGGCUCAACCCAAGAGGAAACCAAUAAUAUCGUGUAAUAUCUGUCACCUGCGCUUCAACUCCACCACCCAGGCAGAGGCCCACUACAAAGGUCAUAAGCAUGCUCGAAAGCUAAAAGCCUUGGAGACACAGAGGAAUCGGCACAAGAGUGGACAGGCUCAGUCCACUAUGGGAAAAGACAGAGACAGAGAGGGCUCGUUGGUGGGAUGCAUAACAGUGCCAAUAGACUCGCAGUUGAAAGACAAAACAGGCCCUAAUACCUCAUUACAACCUCUGCAAAAGCUACCUGAGAAAAACCAGGGGAGCUCACAAGCUGUAACACCAUCUUCACAGACUUUAGGCAUGGACUCCUCUCCUUCUUCUCCUCACCAGUCUCAACAAGUCUCCCCUGGCUCUCAGCUUUCCAAGCUACCUUCAGUCACUCCACAUGUGGAUGGGUGCAGCUUGGAUGCUGGUCCAGCACCACACUCUGACCCUCAGGAAAGCUCCACUGGAGGCAAGGAAGAGGCGUUAAAGGUAGAAGAGGUCAAGGAGGGCAAAAGUAACAAAAAGUAUUUCCACUGUCCAACGUGCAAAGUGACAGUCAAUUCCAACUCCCAGUUGGAGGCUCAUUGUAGUGGUUCUAAGCACAAACAGAUGCUGGAUGGAUCAAACUGCAGCCAGUCACAUCGCAAGGUAAAGAUGGCAUCAUCAGCUAGACCGAAAUGUCGAAUUAAACAGCGGUUAGGCAGCAAGAGCAGAGCGGUUGUUGGUGUAACCAAGCAGGCCUUUCACUGUGAACUGUGUCAGGUGUCCGUCAACUCAGAGACACAGCUGAAGCAGCACACAAACAGCAGGAGACACAAAGAUCGUUUGGCUGGGAAGCCUGUCAAGGCUAAGUUCACCCCAUAUAAUAAACUACACCCCAAUGCUGUCUUAGCGACUAAACUGGCCCUGCAGAAGCAGCUAUGUAAAGCCCUGCCGGCAGGGCUCCUGACCAGCCCUGUCAACCCAGCUGCACUGUGCACAAUGACAUCUGGUCCCUUAGCAUUUCGACUGCCUCCAGGUCCUACAGCCAUCAUCCAGGGCCCCCUCAUCAGCCCCGCACUCUUCAGACCAGCCCCAGGACCAUUGAGGGCCACACAUCCACCUAUUAUCUUUUCUCCUUAUUAACAGUGAACAGAAGGUGUUGGGACUUACACUAGAAUAGACCUAAAGUAUACUGCCUAAGUUGGACUAGCAGAAAUAUAUAGCUAGUCCACUUUGCACCGUACCAAUGAGCUAGGGUUAACUCUAACCCUAGUUAGACACCAGGACACUUUUGGACACGUUUGGCUGGUACAGUAAGAACUGUACACCUAACCCUCUGAUGUGGACAAAGAUUUCAACACUGAGUGACCAGAGUGCCCCCUUUAAAACCUAAAGGACUAUCUCUCAGCUCUUUCAUUGUACAUGUUCCCAGUGUUUGGACCUCUGCAAGCCAUAAUGACAAACAUAUUUAGAUUUCAUUCAUGAAAAUAUUAUGCUAAUACAGAGGGGUAUUUAAAUGUUUAAGUGUUUGUUGCCAAAAAUGAAUUGAUUUUUAGAGCUUUCUAAUCAUGCUUUGGGAAACCAAGAAACAUGUUGUAUUUCUGUUUUAGUUUAGUUUUUUUCUUUUUUAAAACCAAAAACAAGAAAAUCCACAUUGUGUUUAUCUCCCAUUAAAAUAGUUAAUUCUAUAUGAUCACCUUAAUUUAUUUUUUAAGACAAUAGACAUCUGCAAUUUUGCACUGCUGAGCAUUUCAUAUCUCAACAGAAUUGUAUUUUUUCACCCACAUCUGACUCAGAUUCCCUUCCUUUGUUCAUUUUAGAUCUACAGUUCUUCUUUCAGGCUUUUUGUCUGUCUGUUUCUCUCUGUGUAAGUAGGUGACAAUCAAACACCAAACUGACUUGGAUUAUUUUUUGCUAAAUGGAGAUAGAAUACAUCUGAUGUGUAUCCCCUCCCUCCACUCUCCCAUAUGGUUGUAUAAUGUCUAAUGUGUAAAAUUAAAUGAUUUAAUAAUUUUAUAUAUAUGGAAUGAGUCAUAGCAUUAUUUUCAGCUUGGUAGAUUAAUUGCUUAUAACACUUCAAGUCACCCUUUUUACAGUACCAUUCAUUAGCAGGCUGUAAUCCUACAUUAUAAUGUACAAAGAUUGGGUUUUGUAUGAAUCAUUGAAUCACUUUUAACAAACUGAACUCCAGCAAACAAUGAGGGAAAUUUGGUUUAUAAACAGAUAAAUUAUAAAAGAUAUAGUUAGAAUACCAAAAAAAUGUGCAUUUUUUCACAGGACAAGUUACAAGAAUGAAGAGACAG